rnacentral:rRNA from 1 species
CAGCAGCCGCGGGAAUACGUAGGGUGCAAGCGUUAAUCGGAAUUACUAGGCGUAAAGCGUGCGCAGGCGGUUUGUUAAGACAGAUGUGAAAUCCCCGGGCCCAACCUGGGAACUGCAUUUGUGACUGGCAAGCUAGAGUGUGGCAGAGGGGGGUGGAAUUCCGCGUGUAGCAGUGAAAUGCGUAGAUAUGCGGAGGAACACCGAUGGCGAAGGCAGCCCCCUGGGCCAACACUGACGCUCAUGCACGAAAGCGUGGGGAGCAAACAGGAUUAGAUACCCCAGUAGUCCCUGUCUCUUAUAC